rnacentral:lncRNA from 1 species
AUGCCAACACUCAUUCAGCAAACUGUGACAAUCCACUCGUAUUGUUAGCAAGACCGACAUGUACUACGCUGUUGAGCCUGGAUAGGAAAACAAAGUGAACAACCAACUCUGUUUCCCGUUGAUAGCUGAAUUUGAAAAAAGGUAGGUCCGAAAUCUACUAAAUUGUACGCGGGAAUCCUAGAUCGAAUAAUACAGAUAUUUACAAGAAGACUUACUCUUUCAUCUUUGGAGGAUACGUGUUUGCAGAGAAAGUUGGCCUCUUUCCUUCUUUAGCUCUGAAAUGAGCAAUGUCCUUGGACCCUUGAAACUUCGAAUAUGGACCACUUCGAACAACUGCAGAAAACCGAUCAACUUAGAUGAAGCUUUACUGUGUGCUGUUCUAUUUAUAAACCUCUAAUGGUGAUUUUCAUACAAAAAAUUGCCAUGGAAUAUUAAAAGUGAUAACUAGCUCAUUGAUUUAUGCAGACCCUCAAUACAUAAACACAAUAGGAGAUGCGAAAGCGAGAUGAAGAUGCGAACAACCAGUAGAAGAUUGACACUUUCAAAACCCUAGUUCGGUAGUACUGUUAUGAACUUCACAAACCAACUUCGCCUGGGAUAUUUAGUAUUCACCCUACCCUAAGACCCACUGAGAACUGUCAUUGGCAAAUGACCUCCUCAUGUACAAUUCUUCUGACCAUCGCGGUUCUUUAAACUUGAGGUGCACACACAAUUCCCCCAGUUUUGUGAAGGA